rnacentral:rRNA from 1 species
AUUGAACGCUGGCGGCAGGCUUAACACAUGCAAGUCGAGCGGAGAUGAGGUGCUUGCACCUUAUCUUAGCGGCGGACGGGUGAGUAAUGCUUAGGAGUCUGCCUAUUAGUGGGGGACAACAUUCCGAAAGGAAUGCUAAUACCGCAUACGCCCUACGGGGGAAAGCCGGGGAUCUUCGGACCUUGCGCUAAUAGCUGAGCCUAAGUCGGAUUAGCUAGUUGGUGGGGUAAAGGCCUACCAAGGCGACGAUCUGUAGCGGGUCUGAGAGGAUGAUCCGCCACACUGGGACUGAGACACGGCCCAGACUCCUACGGGAGGCAGCAGUGGGGAAUAUUGGACAAUGGGCGGAAGCCUGAUCCAGCCAUGCCGCGUGUGUGAAGAAGGCCUUUUGGUUGUAAAGCACUUUAAGCGAGGAGGAGGCUACCUGGAUUAAUACUCUAGGAUAGUGGACGUUACUCGCAGAAUAAGCACCGGCUAACUCUGUGCCAGCCGCCGCCGUAACAC